rnacentral:sRNA from 1 species
GAGCUGCCUGAGGCGGACGAGUGGACGGGGGGUGACGCACCCGCCUUCUCCACUUCCACCCUCCUCUCAGGUGAUGGAGACUCAGCAGAGCUUGAGGGCCCUCCCGCCCCCCUCAUCCUCCCAUCCAGCCUCGACUACCAGUAUGACACCCCCGGGCUCUGGGAGCUGGAAGAGGUGACUUCGGGGGCAAGCUCCUGCCCCUGUGUGGAGAGCGUUCAGGGCUCCACGUUGAUGCCGGUCCAUGUGGAGCGGGAAAUCCGGCUGCUAGGCAGGAACCUGCACCUUUUCCAGCUCAGCUAUGAGGCUCUGCAGCCAGAGCUCCGUGUGGGGCUGUUUCUGCGUCGGGCCGGCCGUCUGCGUGUGGACAGUGCUGAGGGGCUGCAUGUGGUACUAUAUGACUGUUCCGUGGGACAUGGAGACUGCAGCCGCUGCCAAACUGCCAUGCCCCAGUAUGGCUGUGUGUGGUGUGAGGGGGAGCAUCCACGUUGUGUGACCCGGGAGGCCUGUGGUGAGGCUGAGGCUGUGGCCACCCAGUGCCCAGCGCCCCUCAUCCACUCGGU